UAGGCAUGGCCAUGGUUCCGGAACCGGCGGUUCCGGUUCCAGAAAAGCUGGAACCGGAACCGAACCGAAAUUGGCCGGUUCCGGUUCCGGUUUGGAACCGUCCGGUUCCGGUUCCGGUUCCGGUUCCGAUCCGAUUACAAAACCGACGGUUCCGAUUGGUUUUCCGGCGAAUCGCAUAAUUUGAAAUUUUAAAUUUUUAAUACCGGUUUAAAAAAAAAAUUAUAUUAACAUAAAAAAUUUAAAAAUACUGUUAAAAAAUUUUAAAAUAUCAAGACCAACUAAAAAAAAAAUUAUUUGAACAUAAAAAAUUUAAAAAUACACCUAAAAAAUUUCAAAUUUUUAAGACCGGUUUAAAAAAAAAUUUGAACUGAUUUUUUUUUUUUUUAAGUUUGAACAUAAUGAUUUUUUUUAAAAAAAAUUUGAACUGAAUUUUUUUUUUUUUA
rnacentral:lncRNA from 1 species